rnacentral:rRNA from 1 species
UGUGUGUUAGUGGAAGCGUCUGGAAAGGCGCGCGAUACAGGGUGACAGCCCCGUACACAAAAAUGCACAUAUUGUGAGCUCGAUGAGUAGGGCGGGACACGUGGUAUCCUGUCUGAAUAUGGGGGGACCAUCCUCCAAGGCUAAAUACUCCUGACUGACCGAUAGUGAACCAGUACCGUGAGGGAAAGGCGAAAAGAACCCCGGCGAGGGGAGUGAAAAAGAACCUGAAACCGUGUACGUACAAGCAGUGGGAGCACGCUUAGGCGUGUGACUGCGUACCUUUUGUAUAAUGGGUCAGCGACUUAUAUUCUGUAGCAAGGUUAACCGAAUAGGGGAGCCGAAGGGAAACCGAGUCUUAACUGGGCGUUAAGUUGCAGGGUAUAGACCCGAAACCCGGUGAUCUAGCCAUGGGCAGGUUGAAGGUUGGGUAACACUAACUGGAGGACCGAACCGACUAAUGUUGAAAAAUUAGCGGAUGACUUGUGGCUGGGGGUGAAAGGCCAAUCAAACCGGGAGAUAGCUGGUUCUCCCCGAAAGCUAUUUAGGUAGCGCCUCGUGAAUUCAUCUCCGGGGGUAGAGCACUGUUUCGGCAAGGGGGUCAUCCCGACUUACCAACCCGAUGCAAACUGCGAAUACCGGAGAAUGUUAUCACGGGAGACACACGGCGGGUGCUAACGUCCGUCGUGAAGAGGGAAACAACCCAGACCGCCAGCUAAGGUCCCAAAGUCAUGGUUAAGUGGGAAACGAUGUGGGAAGGCCCAGACAGCCAGGAUGUUGGCUUAGAAGCAGCCAUCAUUUAAAGAAAGCGUAAUAGCUCACUGGUCGAGUCGGCCUGCGCGGAAGAUGUAACGGGGCUAAACCAUGCACCGAAGCUGCGGCAGCGACGCUUAUGCGUUGUUGGGUAGGGGAGCGUUCUGUAAGCCUGUGAAGGUGUGCUGUGAGGCAUGCUGGAGGUAUCAGAAGUGCGAAUGCUGACAUAAGUAACGAUAAAGCGGGUGAAAAGCCCGCUCGCCGGAAGACCAAGGGUUCCUGUCCAACGUUAAUCGGGGCAGGGUGAGUCGACCCCUAAGGCGAGGCCGAAAGGCGUAGUCGAUGGGAAACAGGUUAAUAUUCCUGUACUUGGUGUUACUGCGAAGGGGGGACGGAGAAGGCUAUGUUGGCCGGGCGACGGUUGUCCCGGUUUAAGCGUGUAGGCUGGUUUUCCAGGCAAAUCCGGAAAAUCAAGGCUGAGGCGUGAUGACGAGGCACUACGGUGCUGAAGCAACAAAUGCCCUGCUUCCAGGAAAAGCCUCUAAGCAUCAGGUAACAUCAAAUCGUACCCCAAACCGACACAGGUGGUCAGGUAGAGAAUACCAAGGCGCUUGAGAGAACUCGGGUGAAGGAACUAGGCAAAAUGGUGCCGUAACUUCGGGAGAAGGCACGCUGAUAUGUAGGUGAAGCGACUUGCUCGUGGAGCUGAAAUCAGUCGAAGAUACCAGCUGGCUGCAACUGUUUAUUAAAAACACAGCACUGUGCAAACACGAAAGUGGACGUAUACGGUGUGACGCCUGCCCGGUGCCGGAAGGUUAAUUGAUGGGGUCAGCGCAAGCGAAGCUCUUGAUCGAAGCCCCGGUAAACGGCGGCCGUAACUAUAACGGUCCUAAGGUAGCGAAAUUCCUUGUCGGGUAAGUUCCGACCUGCACGAAUGGCGUAAUGAUGGCCAGGCUGUCUCCACCCGAGACUCAGUGAAAUUGAACUCGCUGUGAAGAUGCAGUGUACCCGCGGCAAGACGGAAAGACCCCGUGAACCUUUACUAUAGCUUGACACUGAACAUUGAGCCUUGAUGUGUAGGAUAGGUGGGAGGCUUAGAAGUGUGGACGCCAGUCUGCAUGGAGCCGACCUUGAAAUACCACCCUUUAAUGUUUGAUGUUCUAACGUUGACCCGUAAUCCGGGUUGCGGACAGUGUCUGGUGGGUAGUUUGACUGGGGCGGUCUCCUCCUAAAGAGUAACGGAGGAGCACGAAGGUUGGCUAAUCCUGGUCGGACAUCAGGAGGUUAGUGCAAUGGCAUAAGCCAGCUUGACUGCGAGCGUGACGGCGCGAGCAGGUGCGAAAGCAGGUCAUAGUGAUCCGGUGGUUCUGAAUGGAAGGGCCAUCGCUCAACGGAUAAAAGGUACUCCGGGGAUAACAGGCUGAUACCGCCCAAGAGUUCAUAUCGACGGCGGUGUUUGGCACCUCGAUGUCGGCUCAUCACAUCCUGGGGCUGAAGUAGGUCCCAAGGGUAUGGCUGUUCGCCAUUUAAAGUGGUACGCGAGCUGGGUUUAGAACGUCGUGAGACAGUUCGGUCCCUAUCUGCCGU